UGAGUAAGGCGGCUGGCGGGG
rnacentral:misc_RNA from 1 species